rnacentral:rRNA from 1 species
CACCUGACCCCAUGCCGAACUCAGAAGUGAAACGCCGUAGCGCCGAUGGUAGUGUGGGGUCUCCCCAUGCGAGAGUAAGGAACUGCCAGAC